GGGAACUGCGUUNUGAACUGGGUAGCUAGAGUAUGUCAGAGGGGGGUAGAAUUCCACGUGUAGCAGUGAAAUGCGUAGAGAUGUGGAGGAAUACCGAUGGCGAAGGCAGCCCCCUGGGAUAAUACUGACGUUCAUGCUNGAAAGCGUGGGUAGCAAACAGGAUUAGAUACCCUGGUAGUCCACGCCCUAAACGAUGUCGAUUAGCUGUUGGGCAACUUGAUUGCUUAGUAGCGUAGCUAACGCGUGAAAUCGACCGCCUGGGGAGUACGGUCGCAAGAUUAAAACUCAAAGGAAUUGACGGGGACCCGCACAAGCGGUGGAUGAUGUGGAUUAAUUCGAUGCAACGCGAAGAACCUUACCUGGUCUUGACAUGUACGGAAGAACUCAGAGACGAGUUUGUGCCUUCGGGAGCCGUAACACAGGUGCUGCAUGGCUGUCGUCAGCUCGUGUCGUGAGAUGUUGGGUUAAGUCCCGCAACGAGCGCAACCCUUGUCAUUAGUUGCCAUCAUUUAGUUGGGCACUCUAAUGAGACUGCCGGUGACAAACCAGAGGAAGGUGGGGAUGACGUCAAGUCCUCAUGGCCCUUAUGACCAGGGCUUCACACGUCGUACAAUGGUCGGUACAGAGGGUAGCCAAACCGCGAGGUGGAGCCAAUCCCAGAAAACCGAUCGUAGUCCGGAUUGCACUCUGCAACUCGAGUGCAUGAAGUCGGAAUCGCUAGUAAUCGCAGGUCAGCAUACUGCGGUGAAUACGUUCCCGGGUCUUGUACACACCGCCCGUCACACCAUGGGAGUGGGGGAUACCAGAAGUAGGUAGGGUAACCGCAAGGAGCC
rnacentral:rRNA from 1 species